rnacentral:lncRNA from 1 species
CGAUGAGAUGACAUAGAAAGUGCGGAUGAUGAGAGGGAAAAUGACAGAGCUGUAUUGCUUGCCGAGGAUGAAGGAAGAGAGGCAGCUGAAAUUGGGUACAAAGCCAUCAGCCUGCAUCAAAAGUCCGGCCGGGUCUUCAAACCAUACGAACCGGCUCUUGCUGUGGUUCAGGUUCAUUGAAUCAUGGCACCCAAUUUUUCAUUUCCGUUUGUUUCUUUUAUCUUUUUUGAAUACGGAACGAAGAUUUAAAUUCAAUUGAGUUUCAGGGAAGUGGGGUAGCUAAGAGCAUGUUUGGCCUAGUUUAAAAGGUUUACUUAUAAGUAAAUAAGGAAGUUUUAUAAUAAAUAAUUCGUUUUAGUAGUGAAAGUUGGAAAUAAUCGAGUUAUGACAAGAGUAACUUGCAAAGAAAGUAGCUAUUUAUUAUAUAUUUAUUUUUUUACUUUUUAUUAAACUAUCUAGUUAUCGUGUUAGGACACAAAAAGUUACGAAAAACAACUUCUAUUUAACUUAAUAUUAGCCAAACGUGCCGGAGCAUUACCGACGAAAUACCAAUUAUUUUCGCGUGCCAUGCUGAAAAAGGGCUGCACUUUUACUUUCCUUCUGCAUAAUAAUUCGGUUCUUGUAAAGAUCACAACUUCGUGCACGUGUGUAACAAUGUUUGCUCAAAUGAUUUUUUUGCUUCUGUUGUUGUGGAUUGCUUAGAUUGGGUCGCAUCAGUUUAAGGUGAGCAAUGGGGAUUGCAUAUAUGCAGAGACAUUGAAGUACUGCGACGUCAAUGGUAAGGUUAUUAAAAUGACUAUUAGUUUGCAUUAAUUCUCUUUUAUCGGUCCUAUCAUUUAUCAAAAGUGAGGAAAAAAUUAUUUCUUAUUGCUUAUAAGAUUCCUAGUCAUUUUCAUUACUUUAUAUAACAAAGUGUUGAAUCUUGAGAUAUUCAUUUAAUCUCAUCACAGAUUCACAGGAUAGCUGAAUAUGAAAUUGUAGUUUGCUUAUUUGUAGAUAUGAAAUGGAAAGUUUUGAUUGCUUGAACUUUUCUGGGAAUACUUUGCAAAUAUCUUGGACUUAACAUUACUAAUUCUUUGUUCCAAGCAAAACCAUGUGCAAUUUAUAAUUAACCCAAAGUUUCAUAUUUUCCUACAGCAUCAUGCUGUUAAUUAUUAAAAGUUAAAAUUCUGAUAAUGCUUUAUGAUUGAAGGUAUAGGUAGUAGGUCAUAAAUUUGACAUAAGGCUUUUUGAUCCACAUCACCAUAUAUUUUGUUUGGGGCAAGCUAGAUACCUCAUUAUCUCUCUCAAUGAUGUUCUUUUAGAAAUCAACUUCAUGUAUUCGUAUAUGUUUUUGUGUUCAUGUUUCUAUGUGUUGAUGUUAGCUAUGCAGCUGUUCAUGCUGUUGUUGAGGAGCAUGUAAGAUAUUUCUAGAUAGAAUACUUAAUUCAUCUGCAGCUUGUAAGAGAUCUGACUAUUCUUCAUAUAUACAUGCAUAUCUGAAAAUGGAACUGAAAUCUAUUGCUCUCAUCUCCUGGCUCCUCCCAAAGACAUAAAACCAAGGUACAAAAAAUUUGAGUCAGUCAAGCUUUAUCAAUUAUUUUAUCAUCCUCUGAUCUCCUUUACUAUGAAAACUUAUAUCCCUAAGUAUUUAUUCUGAGGAAAAUGAUUGUGGAAUUAGGUGAGCUUUGCAG